AGAAGCCCUAGGAAUAGCUCCCCUCCCCCGCUCCCUCUCUCUCUCUCUCUCUCUCCCCCUCCCCUCUCGCUUCUCCCAUGACAGGACACAGCCAGAAGGACACCAUCUGCAAGCCAAGGAGAGAAGCCUCACCAGCCAUGGAAUCUAUAGGCACCUUGAUCUUGGACUUCCAGCCUCCAGAGCUAUGGAAGCCAGCCGUCGGGAGCACACACACCACAUUACAAGGAUCCCAGCCAGGCCCAGGAGGGGAAGCAAGGACACCCUAGAGGCAGAGAGAACUGGCAGACUGGAGUGGAAUGGUGUGAUCAUAGCACACUACAGCCUGUCUAACUCCUGGGCUCAAGCGAUCCUCACGUCUCAGCCUCCUGAGUAACUGUGACUACAGCCAUGCAAGACAUGCCUGUGCCUGCUUCCCCUUUGCCUUCUGCCAUGAUUGAAAGUUUCCUAAGGCCUCCUCAGAAGCCGAGCAGAUGCCAGCAUCAUGCUUCCUCUAAAGCCUGUGGAACCGCUGGAGUGAAGUGGCGUGAUCUCAGCUGACUGGAACAUCCACCUCCUAGGUUCAAGUGAUUCUCCUGCCUCAGCCUCCCAAGUGGCUGGGAUUACAGGAUUUUUCAUGGGCCGAUCUGCUAAAUUCAGGCUAGGAGCUGAGGCCAACAUCUGAGUCUCUUCAGCACACAAGUUUGAAAGAAGUCCUAGCAACUUCAAGCUCAGAACUAUGGGUGGCAGCGGCUCCCUCUUGACGUCAAAGCCUCCCUUUCCAGAGAGAGUCAAGGCCCAGAUCAAACAAAGCCCACAAGCACCGAUGACUGAGCUGCUGACUACCCCAGCAUCUCCAACUCAACCUCCUCUUUCUGUCUCUACCCAAAUUUUAAAACUUUUAAAUGUGGGUUUAAAAAUGGUGAUGAGUAAAGUUGCAUCCAAGUGUAUCAAAUAAAAUUAAAUAUCCAUAAA